UACGUAGGGUGCGAGCGUUAAUCGGAAUUACUGGGCGUAAAGCGUGCGCAGGCGGUUGUGUAAGACAGAUGUGAAAUCCCCGGGCUCAACCUGGGAAUGGCAUUUGUGACUGCACAGCUGGAGUACGGCAGAGGGGGAUGGAAUUCCGCGUGUAGCAGUGAAAUGCGUAGAUAUGCGGAGGAACACCGAUGGCGAAGGCAAUCCCCUGGGCCUGUACUGACGCUCAUGCACGAAGGCGUGGGGAGCAAACAGG
rnacentral:rRNA from 1 species